CUUGGCCUCUCAAGGCACUGGGGCUACAGGUGUGAGCCACCAUGCCUAGCCAUAUUUUUUAUUUCCUAAUGUUUAACUGCGCUUGCAUUUCUGGUUAAACUCAACUUGUUUAUGAUGUAUUAUCUAUUUGAAAUAAACUCCUAAGCUUGUUUCAUUAGUAUUUAAUUUGAAUUUGUAGCUAUGUUUAUGAGUGAGAUUGGUUCAAAAGGUUUCUUUAUUGUCCUGUCCUUCUUUGGUUUUGCUAUCAAGGUUACGUUAAUAUCAUUGAGUGAAUUGUGUCAUAGUCCCUCUUUUUCUGUUUUAUAGGACAUUUUUAAAGAUUGGAAUGAUCUCGUUCUUGAAACCUAGGUGGGAUACGAUCAUUUACCAGACUCUAUGUUGAAGAUGCCUGGACUAACCUACUGAAGAUACGUGGUUUUACCAACAGCCAGCACCAAUAGGAAGAUAUGAAUGAAGCCAUCUGAGACCAGCCAUCUGGCAGCCAAACUGCCAACUGACUGCAAAUGCAUGAAUGAUCCCACUGACACCACGUAGAGCACAAAUGAGUUGCCUCCACUGAGCCCAGCCCAAAUUGUUAUCCUAUAAAAUCAUAAAAACAUAAACAGUUGUUUUAAGUCACUAAGUUUUGGAUAGUUUGUUAUACAACAAAAGCUAGCUGAAACAAAUGUAUUAGCUAGAGCAGCUGUGAAUGGCACUAUUUGCUUAGUUGAUUGGCUGAAAUUUGGACUCACUGGUAGGUUACAUUUAAUGGUGUUGAGUUGCCAGAAUUUCUCUGGAAUAAUGUAUAGGAAGGAUUCUAAUGGCCUAAGCCAUUAGAAUCUCUAAGGAGAUAGAAAUAAAGGAGUGAUUUAUUAUAUGUAACUGUGCCUCUUCCCUCACCACACUUGGUCCUGAAAGAGCCUAAGGAAUAGUUUCUUCUCUAAAGCAUUGAAAAAUGCUUUAAUGGGAGAAGCCCCAGCACCCUUGAACAUGUUCAGGCAGCUGCUUUCUAUAGGCCAAGGAUGUGGUGGGAAAAUCUGCCUGAUCUCAAUGUAGAUGAUGAGAUCCCAGAGUAGCGAUCAGCAUUUUUUACCAGCAGGAAUAAUCUUUGGUGGUGGUUGGCUCUAAGAAUUAAAUAGAUGUGGGCCGGGCGUGGUGGCUCAUGCUUGAAAUCCCAGCACUUUGGGAGGCUGAGGUGGGUGGA
rnacentral:lncRNA from 1 species